CCUACGGGUGGCAGCAGUGAGGAAUAUUGGUCAAUGGACGGGAGUCUGAACCAGCCAAGUAGCGUGAAGGAUGACUGCCCUAUGGGUUGUAAACUUCUUUUGUAUGGGAGUAAAAUGUUGCACGUGUGGGGUUUGGUGUGUACCCUAUGAAUAAGCAUCGGCUAACUCCGUGCCAGCAGCCGCGGUAAUACGGAGGAUGCGAGCGUUAUCCGGAUUUAUUGGGUUUAAAGGGAGCGUAGGUGGAUUGUUAAGUCAGUUGUGAAAGUUUGGGGCUCAACCGUAAAAGUGCAGUUGAAACUGGAAGCCUUGAGUACACUAGAGGUGGGCGGAAUUCGUGGUGUAGCGGUGAAAUGCUUAGAUAUCACGAAGAACUCCGAUUGCGAAGGCAGCGUACCGG
rnacentral:rRNA from 1 species